rnacentral:rRNA from 1 species
ACGAACGCUGGCGGCGUGCUUAACACAUGCCAGUCGAACGGAAAGGCCCUGCUUUUGUGGGGUGCUCGAGUGGCGAACGGGUGAGUAACACGUGAGUAACCUGCCCUUGACUUUGGGAUAACUUCAGGAAACUGGGGCUAAUACCGGAUAGGAGCUCCUGCUGCAUGGUGGGGGUUGGAAAGUUUCGGCGGUUGGGGAUGGACUCGCGGCUUAUCAGCUUGUUGGUGGGGUAGUGGCUUACCAAGGCUUUGACGGGUAGCCGGCCUGAGAGGGUGACCGGCCACAUUGGGACUGAGAUACGGCCCAGACUCCUACGGGAGGCAGCAGUGGGGAAUAUUGCACAAUGGGCGGAAGCCUGAUGCAGCAACGCCGCGUGCGGGAUGACGGCCUUCGGGUUGUAAACCGCUUUCGCCUGUGACGAAGCGUGAGUGACGGUAAUGGGUAAAGAAGCACCGGCUAACAACGUG